rfam:Salmo salar isolate Sally breed double haploid chromosome ssa07, whole genome shotgun sequence.
ACCCUAGUGGCCUAAUGGAUAAGGCACUGGCCUUCUAAGCGAGGGAUUGUGGGUUCGAGUCCCAUCUGGGGUG